GUGGGGAAUAUUGGACAAUGGGGGAAACCCUGAUCCAGCCAUGCCGCGUGAAUGAUGAAGGCCUUCGGGUUGUAAAGUUCUUUUGGAGGGGACGAUGAUGACGGUACCCUCAGAAUAAGCUCCGGCUAACUUCGUGCCAGCAGCCGCGGUAAUACGAAGGGAGCUAGCGUUGUUCGGAAUUACUGGGCGUAAAGGGCGCGUAGGCGGUUUGGUCAGUCAGAUGUGAAAGCCCAGGGCUUAACCCUGGAACUGCGUUUGAUACUGCCAAGCUUGAAUUCGGGAGAGGUGAGUGGAAUUCCCAGUGUAGAGGUGAAAUUCGUAGAUAUUGGGAAGAACACCAGUGGCGAAGGCGGCUCACUGGACCGACAUUGACGCUGAGGCGCGAAAGCGUGGGGAGCAAACAGGAUUAGAUACCCUUGUAGUCC
rnacentral:rRNA from 1 species